rnacentral:rRNA from 1 species
ACCGAUAGUCAAAAGGUAAUACCUAUAGGGAAACCUUUACCCUUUGGCGGCCUCUUUUCUAAUCAAAGGAACUUGUCUGUUAAUCGAAACUACCCGCCCACUCUCUCUUUUAUUCAGUUUUUAUACCGUCAUCUCAAGAAUCUAUCUAAAAAUUACAUUCCCAAACGAUAAAACCGACCAAGUUAGAUCAAGGUGAAGCGAAUAUAUCAGAUCAGAUGAGUUAUUCAUAAAUACUAUUUAAGGAUUCUAUUUCAAAAGAAAAAAUGAACUAAGAUUUGAUAGUACUUCGAGAUUAUAAUUCCCAAAGAAAACAGAAAAAAAAGGUGU